AUGGUGAAGGUCGGUGUGAACGGAUUUGGCCGUAUUGGGCGCCUGGUUACCAGGGUUGGCGUCUGCUCUCCACAUGGCAAAGUGGAGAUUGUUGCCAUCAAUGACCCCUUCAUUGACCUCAACUACAUGGUCUAUGUGUUCUAGUAUGACUCCAACCAUGGCAAAUUCAAUGGCACAGUCAAGGCUGAGAAUGGGAAAAAAUGCCUUCAGUGGGCAUCUGUGGGCCCACUGAAGGGCAUCCUGGGCUACACUGAGGACCAAGUUUUCUACUGUGACUUCAGUAGCAACUCCCACUCUUCCACCUUUGAUGCUGAGGCUGGCAUUGCUCUCAAGGACAACUUUGUAAAACUCAUUUUCUGGUAUGACAAUGAAUAUAGCUACAACAACAGGGUCGUGUACCUCAUGGCCUACAUGGCCUCCAAGGAGGAAGAAACCCUGGAACACCCACCCCAGCAAGGACACUAAGAGCUAGAGAGAGGCCCUUGGGUGCUGAGGCCCCAACACUGAGCAUCUCCCUCACAGUUUCCAUCCCAGACCCCCAUAGUAACAGUAGGGGCUUAGGGAGCCCUUCCUACUCUCUUGAAUAUCAUCAAUAAAGUUGGCUGCAC